rnacentral:rRNA from 1 species
CGGCAGCACGGGAGCAAUCCUGGUGGCGAGUGGCGAACGGGUGAGUAAUAUAUCGGAACGUGCCCAGUCGUGGGGGAUAACGCAGCGAAAGCUGUGCUAAUACCGCAUACGAUCUUUGGAUGAAAGCGGGGGAUCGCAAGACCUCGCGCGAUUGGAGCGGCCGAUAUCAGAUUAGGUAGUUGGUGGGGUAAAGGCUCACCAAGCCGACGAUCUGUAGCUGGUCUGAGAGGACGACCAGCCACACUGGAACUGAGACACGGUCCAGACUCCUACGGGAGGCAGCAGUGGGGAAUUUUGGACAAUGGGCGCAAGCCUGAUCCAGCAAUGCCGCGUGCAGGAUGAAGGCCUUCGGGUUGUAAACUGCUUUUGUACGGAACGAAAGGGCUCUGGUUAAUACCUGGGGCAUAUGACGGUACCGUAAGAAUAAGCACCGGCUAACUACGUGCCAGCAGCCGCGGUAAUACGUAGGGUGCGAGCGUUAAUCGGAAUUACUGGGCGUAAAGCGUGCGCAGGCGGUAAUGCAAGACAGAUGUGAAAUCCCCGGGCUUAACCUGGGAACUGCAUUUGUGACUGCAUUGCUGGAGUGCGGCAGAGGGGGAUGGAAUUCCGCGUGUAGCAGUGAAAUGCGUAGAUAUGCGGAGGAACACCGAUGGCGAAGGCAAUCCCCUGGGCCUGCACUGACGCUCAUGCACGAAAGCGUGGGGAGCAAACAGGAUUAGAUACCCUGGUAGUCCACGCCCUAAACGAUGUCAACUGGUUGUUGGGUCUUA